UAUUAUGAGAGUUUGAUCCUGGCUCAGGACGAACGCUGGCGGCGUGCCUAAUACAUGCAAGUCGAACGCUUCUUUCCUCCCGAGUGCUUGCGCUCAAUUGGAAAGAGGAGUGGCGGACGGGUGAGUAACACGUGGGUAACCUACCCAUCAGAGGGGGAUAACACUUGGAAACAGGUGCUAAUACCGCAUAACAGUUUAUGCCGCAUGGCAUAAGAGUGAAAGGCGCUUUCGGGUGUCACUGAUGGAUGGACCCGCGGUGCAUUAGCUAGUUGGUGAGGUAACGGCUCACCAAGGCCACGAUGCAUAGCCGACCUGAGAGGGUGAUCGGCCACACUGGGACUGAGACACGGCCCAGACUCCUACGGGAGGCAGCAGUAGGGAAUCUUCGGCAAUGGACGAAAGUCUGACCGAGCAACGCCGCGUGAGUGAAGAAGGUUUUCGGAUCGUAAAACUCUGUUGUUAGAGAAGAACAAGGACGUUAGUAACUGAACGUCCCCUGACGGUAUCUAACCAGAAAGCCACGGCUAACUACGUGCCAGCAGCCGCGGUAAUACGUAGGUGGCAAGCGUUGUCCGGAUUUAUUGGGCGUAAAGCGAGCGCAGGCGGUUUCUUAAGUCUGAUGUGAAAGCCCCCGGCUCAAC
rnacentral:rRNA from 1 species